CCAAAUUAUUCCUUCUUAUCUCUUUGCUGACUCACUAGGACACGUUACAUCUUUACAUAAAAUUUUGCCUACUAUUUACAAGAUUUUUCUUGAAAUAAAUAAAUACUAGCCUAAUAAGACAAAGACUUUUCUAGCCUAACAAGACUAGCCUAAAAAUACUUCACUUUUCUUGAAAUAAAUACUAGCCUAACAUGACAAACACUUUUCUUGAAAAAUACUAGCCUAAUAAGACUAAAAUACUAGCCAAACAAGACUAAACUAAAAUAUUACAUUUUUUGAAAACUACAAGUCUUUUUACAAAAAACUCUUUUAGUCUUCAUUUUUCUCUUUGUCUUCUUCUUCUUUCUCUUUUUCCGUAGUAGGUGGAAGAUAAACUUUAGGAAUAUCUUCUUUUUGGUUGCAAUAAUUGCAAUGGUGCA
rnacentral:lncRNA from 1 species